GCUUUUUGAAGUGUUUUACAUGCAUUAUCUCAUGUGGUCUUUACCAGUGCUCUGUAUAAGGUGAAUAUCGGUUUUUUCCAACUCAGAGACUAAGAAAACAGCUGUGGUAGGGGCAGAUGAGUCAGUGAGAUUUGUGAGCAGCUCUCAACAUGUACCUGCACCCUUAGAAUGAAGACAGAGAAGAAGCAGGUUUCAAAUGAAUAAGCAGGUACCUGGAGAGGCCUCAAGGGAUGUGGCAAGAUGAUUCAGGAAACCAGCCAAGGCACAAUGGAAGGGUUUGGGUUGCGUGUUCUGUACCUCUGGGAACCUGGUGAUCAGGAAAAAGACUCCUCUGGUUUCAAGGAAUAGCAGUAACAUCUUCUAAGCAAGAGUCCCAAGAGGUGACUCAAAGAAAGAGGUCUUUGGGUCACAGAAGGAGAUAUAAAUUAGCUCUCUGGAAAAAGUUACUGAACACAGACUGAAAAACUGCUAUACACUGAAAGUGAUGGUCAGUUUGAUGACAGGAUAGAAAAUCUAAAUUGCUGCCUGCCUGAAAGACCAUCCA